CCUGCAGUACUAUCAGACACUUGGCCCUCGUGGUUCUGGAGAAGAUGCUGGCUUUGAAGAGAAAGGAGCUGCACAUAAGGAAGGUGAAGUGAUGUGCCAUCCCCAGCUGUUUUCCCAUUCCUUCUUACCACUUACUCCCCAUUCUGUGUCUUCUGUUAGCCUGGUAUGAUAAUUUUGGUACCUGCUCACCUAGAAAUAUGUGCACACAUGAUCACAGGCACUUUUACUGCUCUGCACUUGUAUGUAGACAUUUACAGACACGUCUUUUUAUUUUAGGUUCGUUUAAUCUCUUCAGCUGGGGACUGUAACCUCCUAUCAUUGGAAUAAAUUAGUGUUUUUUUUCCUAGAAGGUAGGAGGACAAGUGGCUAGCUCUGAAAAAUAGUUUGGAGCAAGAGUGGGUUCAAGUGAUUAGCGAAGAAAAAAAGAUCUUUAAAAAAAAUUCCCUGGGUUAUUCUGAUGUUUAUUCUAUUCUCUGAAUGCAUGUGAUUCGUGAGCCUAAAAAGGCCUUCGAUGACCUCAUCUUGGCAAUUUCAGGAUGUUCAGGAGCCCAGUAGAUGGCACUAUCUAGUGGUGCUGAGAACAGUUCAUGGAGAAACUACCACUCACAGCUACAAAUCUGGUAGAGAAGUAGCACCCUUACAGUUUACUGGACAAGUUAGAAGUUGAUAGUAACGCUCCGUCAUCCUCCCCCUUACUAGGGAAUGAGACCUUUUCUUACAUGUCUUGCCUAUUCAUGGUAUUUACUCUCAGUACACAAAACACUGUUACCUCCUAUGGAUAGUCAGUGCCCCUUGGGCGGAAAUAGAAUAGAUUUGUGGCCAGUGGUCAAGCUUGAGACUUACCUCGUGUUUCAGAAGAGUGUUUUGCAGUGAGAGAUCUGGAGGAUUUCAGUGUUCGCACCCUGUAUGAUAAGCUGGAGGAUCAGAAUUUGCACCUGGCAUCUCAGCUGGCAAAACACAGGAUGGACGUGCUGGUGUUUUACAACGGAAUCAGCCAGCAGAUUCAAGGUCUCAUGGACAUGGUGCAAGCACGGGACUCUGGAGGCCAGAAAAUCUUUGCCAAGCGAAGGAUUUGUGGGCAUAAACCUGCAGAGAGCAGCUGGGCAGCAGUGGGUGUUGAACCAUGUGAUGAGCACUGUAGCAGCAACUUCGAAGCAGUAGGGCACACAGGUGCACCGUGGCAAGAGGCAACGGAGUUAAUGAAAGCUCUGGAAAUCCUGCUUAGGAGAGCUCAGCACAAGAAUAUCUCUGUGAAACAAGAGAUGGAGCAGCAGGUCCAAGGACAGGAUGCGCUGGCAGUUGUACCCUCACUGGGCAGCCUGGCCAGUGAAAGUAAAGCAGAAGUAGGGGAAGGGCAGGAUUGUGAGCUGCUUCAGCAGUGUGAGCUUUUCCGUAGAAAAGGUGCUCUUUUCAGCUUCCCUGGACAUGACGAACAUGAUCCCCAGCUGGCUUACCUGACUGAGCUGGAGGUGGAAGGCCUGAUAGCAGCUUCCCCCCUUGCCACGACUCUGUGUGAGAUCAAGCAAGCUUUGGUGAAGCUGCAACAACCUUUAGACCUUCGUAAUCCAGGUUGUCCCUCAACUGGUAUCGGUCAUUCCUGCUUUCUGAUGAAGCUCAACAGAGCUAUCGUGGCCCUUGCCAAUGCCUUUUUCCAGCAUUCAUGGGGGAUAGCAGAGAAGGAUUCUUCAGGAGGUUGCUUAGCUGUUCCUUUUGACCCUCAGACAGUGCUCAAAGAACUUGUCAGCAUCAGAGUAUCAUCACUCCCAUGUGUCAAGGAAAAAGCCCCAGAAAAGAGGGUGUCUAGUCUGGAAAAGUACCAGGCCCUUAAGCUGCAAGUGGAGACCCAGGACAGGAUGGAAAGUUCUCAGAAAAGUGACUACAACUGGAUGUUAGAUUCCUCUGCUGUUAAGCUGAAGGUUGCAAAACUGGAGGAGAGGCUGGAUGAGCUAAAUGAGGAGUUUUCUGAACUGACAGUACGGGCCUUGAGCAUGCAGGAAGAUGGGGAAUCGUUGGAGGAGGAGCUGAGAAUGCAGGAAGAGUCAUUUACGACUGCAAGCAACAAACAAGCGUGGGGAGCUCAGCAAUAUUCAGAGCUGUUGGAUUCUUGGGCCACAAAGAGGGAUGAAGCCCUGCUGCUGGAAAUAAGGAAGAACUGCAUUGCUCAGAGGAUUGAAGAGAUGGAAGCAGAACUAUUUUAUCUUCAGCAAAGUAAACUAGGCACCAGCCCAUUUCCUUGAGGAACCUAGCUCAUAAGGCAAUACCUAAAGGCAGAUUAUGGGAGCAUGUUUGAAUCUGUGGACAGAGUGCUUUAUCUGAAGUAUCGUGAUAGAUACAUACGUAGUUAGAGAUUCACUCGGUCAAAUAUGUCACGGAAAAUCCAUAUUCUGUUUUCUUUAAUUGGUUGAAGUACAUUCACACUUACCCUCAGUCAUCAAUAAUUUUCUGGGCUUGAGAGGAAAGCUGAAGUUCUUAACAUUGUUUGCUAAUUUCAGAGUUUUCAUUGCUAAGUCAGUAAAGCAGAAAAGAUGUGAGGCCGUGGGUCACCCCCUCUUACCAGUGCAUUCUGUACUGCCUUUUUCACUUCUGAUAUCAAGGAUAGUUGUGAGGAUCUUUUAGGUACAGUUCAGAGCAAUACUUCAAAGACUUGCCCAGCAUUUCUACGCUGCCUGUGCAUGUUUUCAAUAGAAUCGUAUUGAUCAGUAAGGUCUGCUGGCAGAGACCUUGAAGGCCUUUAGAGGUGUGAUGUUUGGGCAAAGAGUACACUUAAAUAAUUCCCUGUAGCAGAGAGUGCAGCAAUCUGUGUAUCUGCUGGUGUCCAAUGCUCUGUGAGCUUGAUCUUUAAAUAGAAUAUAUCUUUUCUACCAUUUCUAUUCUUUUAGUCUGUCUUUAUGAUGCCAGGAGAGCCUGGCUGCAAAAUGGGCUUUGUUUCUGAGGAGCAAGAUUGGACUCAGCACACCUGCUGUCUCUUUCUGCACCGUAUUCCUUAGCUCCAGGUGAAGUAGCAUAGCAUAAACUUGCUCGUCUGUGAGCCAGCACAAUGCCUUGGCAAACCACAUUGGUAGGCUUCAGCCAACUGUUUUCAACAGCAAAGUCUGUUCUUUUUUCAUUUCAGUGUUUACUGAAUUGCUUAUGUGUGAAGAGGUUUGUGAACCCACUCCUUCCUGGUUCCUAAACACAAACCUGUGCUUACUCAUUCUGCCUUUGCAUAACUGUAGAGGGUAUUAAGAGGGUGAGACUUAAGUGCCUGGGAGCCAAGACAGAAGCUCUCAGCUUCAGUUCCAUAAACUGGUGUCUCUCCUCGAUCCAGAGGAACUGCCUGUUUUUUGCCCUUACCUACUCACUUUGGUGGUUCCACAUUUUCUGAGCUUGCUCCCAGAAGCAAAAGCUUUGUUGUAGUUCCUUUGCACCUUGGGAGAAUUUAAUUAUUUGCUGACACUUUGAAGGGACUUUCAGAAAAUGAAAGGAUUUUAGGAAGCAAAAUGUACCUACAGGCAACCGCUACAAAACACCGUGAUUGCCGCCUUCUGGGAUAUAGUAAUGAAAAGGCUGUCAUUGCUCUCCUAAUUGCUUUCUUUUCAGGUUAUCAGCAGAUAUAACAGUGCUACAUGGACACAAGUAUCUUCAGUGACUGCUGUCUCUGUAAUAUCCACUGGAAAAUACGGUACACAGGUGAUAGAGUUAUCUCUGUGCUGUGCUUCCAGCUGAUAUUUGUAAAAGGCAUGUUGGAAGGCAGUAGCAAGUAAAAUCUGACAAUUUUUUCAUAGCAACAGUUUUCCAAUGAAAAUAAUUAGUUUUAUUCUAGAUCAAAACAAAGAUAUGUGUAUAGAAUUUUGCUGAUUUUUUCCCCACUGUUGUUUUCUUAACAAGUACACUUCAGUUAUAAGUAAAUAAUUUUGUGUUUCAAAUUAUUUGUUUUGUUUUUUUUUUUUUUUCCACAAAAUGAAAGAAUAUCAAUGAGAAGACCAGAAUUUCACACAGCAUUUUCUUUUCAUGUUCUGUUGAUGGUUACUGAAAGAAAGAACAAAUAUAAAGAGGAGUGGUGCAACCAUUAUUUUUGUUCUUCUUCUAAAGUAUUUACUGUUGAUAGCUCUUUUUCUAGUGUUCUCUGAAAUCUUCUGGAAGUCAAGCUUGUCUGGAGUAGCUCUGAAGUCCCCUCACGUUUGGGAGGCUGCUGUUUCCCUGAGACUGCUGAUAAGACUGACCAAGUCCAGGGUGACUUAAUUUGGAAUUCGAAGAAGGAUCACAGGGCUGUUGGUUUUCCUUCAGUUGUUUUGACUUAUGCCUCUCUUAACAGAAAAUGAAAGGCCCUUUUCAGCAUUCAGGGUAAAGUGUAGCUUCUCAUGGAGGGCACCAAACACGGCUGUGAGUGUGAAAAGGGAGGUAUGGUGAGUUCCCUGACCAGGAACCUCUCCAGCUUACAGCUGUGUGUGGCUCUGAAGCAACACCUGCUGAAACUGGGUGGUUUCUGCUGCUUUUGUCUUCCAGUGUGAAGCUUAUCAAGCCUCCUAGUGGGUUAACAAAGCCAGACAACGUUCCAGUGGUGUGUGUCGCAGUUACUGAGGCCCACCUUGGCUGUGCUCAUUAUGUAGUUAAUCCUUGCUUCUCAUCCAGAUAGGGCUCUAUACAGUGCUUUCAAAUGCUGUUGGAAGAAAAGGUCCAGUGAAAACAACUAGUGAGAAUGUCCAUCCGAAGAAAAUGUCCAAUGAGGAUUUCAUUAGUAUGUCAGUGCAAAUGAAAUGCAGUACCGGUCCGGAUCUGCUGGCAGAGUCUCUGCAGGUUUUCACACUCAGUGCUUAAGUACAGGCAGGUUAAUUAAGCCUAUUCAAUUGCCAGCUACAAACAUAACAAUAAUGAAUAUCCAUUGAAUUCUCCUAGACUGUAGCAGAUGCAGGUUAUUAUGACCCAGCUUACCCCACAGCAAAAGAAUUUUGUGCUGAACUAUACAAACUAGUUUUUGCCUUGACUAAAAGCAUGGGUUGUUCUAACUUGACUGACUGUUAGAGUGAAAGGCAGAUAACUUGUUUUGAGGUGGUCCUGGAUCAUAGUCCUCAAGUAAAAGGCACCCAGACUCUGGGCUGUUUAUCAGAAGUGGAUUAUAUCUGCAUAGCUGAGACAUGUCUUGAGUUAAAUUGCGUAGCCCGUAGUAACUUUCUGCCCUUGAACCCUGACCAGGACUUCUGUGUGUUGCAGGUGAAGUUGAGUUGGCAGAUGAGAAUGGCAAGGUGACGAAUUUGCUCCAGAACCAUUAUACAUCACAGUUCCUAAGUGAGAGAGGGUUUUGUGUACUACUCAGAGUUACAUGUAUGUAAAUUUGCUAAUCUCUGUAUUGCAGAUGCUAUUAUUUUCCUUUGCAGCUGAAGAGAUACACACACACAAAUGAAGGCUGAAAUUUAUAGGGAAUUUUCAUUUUGGAUUCCCUGUCUAAGCCUGUGAGCAUCCUUAACUCCAGUCAGAGAUAAUAGAACCUAAUGAUCUUGAACACUUACUGAAGACAGGGCUAAGAUACCAGAAAUUGGACAUCUGAAAUUAAGUUGCUUUUUAAAAUGGUCCAGUGGAAGCUAGGAUUGCCUCCCUGUAGGACAGAGGUUUCCUUACAACCUCAGUUUUGACCUCCAAAAAAAAAAUUUUUUUUUUUUUAAGUUUCUGGUUUUAUGCCAUGCUUUUAUCCCUAACAGGACAUGAAGUUCUCAAGAAGCUGUGUUUAUGCCACUGUUGAAAGAUCACAGCAUUGUUGCUCCAAAGUCCCCAUGUUGGUGGCCUAAGGUAGGUGUUUCUGUAAUGUUGUUCUCAAACCUGAGAGGAGAAAGUAUUGUGUCAGCUGUGUUCCUCAGGAAGGAAUAAAAGCCUGAGGUAAAGAGGAAUGCUUUAAAUU
ensembl:lncRNA